rnacentral:rRNA from 1 species
GUACGGGAGGCAGCAGCAAGGAAUUUUCCGCAAUGGACGAAAGUCUGACGGAGCAACGCCGCGUGAGUGAUGAAGCCUUUCGGGGUGUAAAACUCUUUUCUGAGGGAAGAAGAUCUGACGGUACCUCAGGAAUAAGCAUCGGCUAACUACGUGCCAGCAGCCGCGGUAAUACGUAGGAUGCAAGCGUUGUCCGGAAUUACUGGGCGUAAAGAGCGCGCAGGCGGCACUUUAAGUAGGGCGUGAAAUCUCUCGGCUUAACUGGGAGGGGUCGUUCUAAACUGGAGAGCUAACGAGGGCAGGAGAGGAAAGUGGAAUUCCCGGUGUAGUGGUGAAAUGCGUAGAUAUCGGGAGGAACACCUGUGGCGAAGGCGACUUUCUGGCCUGUUCCUGACGCUGAGGCGCGAAGGCUAGGGGAGCGAACGGGAUUAGAUACCCUGGU